rnacentral:lncRNA from 1 species
GUUAUCGUCAGUUUUGUUGCCAGUUAAAAACCUCCCAUGUUUUGCCCCACAUUCUCCACCUUCCGUGCUUUCAGGCGGCCAUCUCCUCCUCACCCAUAAAACUAACAUCCAUCUCCACAACCUGCAUCAACAAAUCAAAAGGCAAAAGUGGGUAAGUGAGUUACUGAAGAAAAGAAAAUUCAUCCUCACUCCCUUACGCGACAUUCACCUCCUCAACCCAGUUCGAUCGAUACUAACCCCUGCUCCCCAUAUCACACCGGUGUUACAACGCUCCUAUCCUAACCACCACCGGAGAUAUGGUCAUAUGGAUUGAUUGCAACAAGUAGUGUUCAUCUCUUCGUCAGAUGCGGGAUUCCGGAGUCCAUAUUAAGGAAUUUUGCUUCUCCAGUGAACUUUGCGUCUUCUCCAAACACCCCCACCCCCUUUUAACCUAAUUGGAAAAAAUACAAAGUAAAUAGUGGGGUUUGGAAAAAAGGAAUGACGGAUUGCUUAUAUACGAAAUGAGGAAGGCUACAUGCAGUGGGUGUCUAAAGGGCUAAUCAUGGAUUUUUUAUGUUAAAUAAUAUAGUAAAAUUGGAAAAUGUGUGUUGGUACUUACGAAAGGGAAAAAUCGCGGGUAUCCAAGGGGCUAAUCCAAAAUUUGAUUGCCAUACUGCAGCCUUGAGGUUGUCACUGCUGGUGGUCAAGGUAUUGAUGUUUUGAUGAAUGUGGAGCACUCAAGUUGACCUCCGGUUGCCUCAAAGCUGGCCCCUGGCAUGUCCGGUAUGUUUUCCUUUUGUUCACAUGUUUGUGGUAUGGCUUCUUUAUAUGGGGUGGUCAUUUUGGCCCAUUUACUUUUGAAUGGGUCGAUUCGGGUUGUCCUGUCUAACUGGUCACCUAAAGCCUAUAGUUUAUUGCAUACAAAAUUGUACAUUCUUUGUUCAAAGAUUUAGAUUAUUACAGUUAGGGGUGUCAAUUAUGUCGGGAUUUAGAUUAUUACAGUUAGGGGUGUCAAUUAUGUCGGGUUGUGAGUUAGUGGGUUGAAUUGUGCAACCCGAAUACGACCAACAUUACCAUUCAUUUGCUAUUACCAUAACAUGAAAGUUAUUUGAGGAUCAGACUCAUUGUUUAAUAAGAUGCCUUUAUUUUGAGAAUCAGAUCUGGUUUAAAACUAUGGACUAUCAUAACAGUUAUGAAGCAUUUAACAUUUUUUAUUGGUAAAAUGAUAAGAACUUAAUCAUUAAUAAUAAUAAGAGUUGAUUGAACAUGAAGAGUCUUGGCAGGGAUAUGAUGAUCAAAGAGUUUGAUGAUGAAAGACUCGAACUUGAUUGCAAGUUGGAAAUAGAAAAUUUAAAAAAACAUGUGUAUUGUAGUUGGGACUUGGAGUUAGCAAUAAAUGUCCUCAGAUUUUUUGGAAGGAUGUCAAGUUUAAUUUAUUUAAAAAACACAUACUAAAAUGGAUUAACGGAUCAACCCAUUUUAUGAAAUAGGUCAACUUGAAUGCGACCCGUUUUUAAACGGGUCAAUCCUAACACGCCCUAUUUUUUAACAGGUCAAGUUUGCCAGGCCAAAAACUGAUUAAUUUUGUGUCGUGUUUGGGUUGUGUUUUAGGUCGUGCCAAGAAUUUUCACCCCUAAAGUAAUCUUAUUUUUCAUACUUAUAUUAUCGCAUUAAAUAUGUAUAAAAGAUUAGAAAGAUGAUGUGUAUGCAGUACGGCUUAGCCCAAUUUGACAUGGCCUGUUUUGUAACGGGGCAAAUAGGUUUUGUCAAAUGAGUGCUUUUGAUUCGAUAGGCGGGCCAAACUGGUUUGGUUCAAAUUUUUAUGGCAUCUAAGUUUCAAGAGACUUUUGGAAGAAAUAGCUUAGUUUUGUAUUAUUUAUCAUAGAAUAAAAAAAUGACGGAUCAUCCCGUUUUGGUUGGUUACAGGCUAAACAGAGUGGGUCAAAAUGAGCCUCUUAAGUUGCCAACAAUGGUUAUUUCUGUUGUCAAGGCUUUAAUUUGAUGGUUAGAUGUGAUCAUUUCUUUUUGUGACUACCAUUGAUAUAUGUAGAAAAUAUGUAUAUCUUCAAGCACCAAUGCACCGGUAACA